UACAGAGGCCUCGAGCGUUAGGCGGAAUCACUGGGCUUAAAGCGUGUGUAGGCGGACUUCUAAGUACCUUGUGAAAUCCCACGGCUCACCCGUGGAACUGCUUGGUAUACUGGUCGUCUUGAGCCUUCUAGGGGCGAGUGGAACAAAUGGUGGAGCGGUGAAAUGCGUAGAUAUCGGGAGGAACACCAAUGGCGAAGGCAGCUCGCUGGGACGUGACUGACGCUGAGACGCGAAAGCGUGGGGAGCAAACAGG
rnacentral:rRNA from 1 species